CGAACGGGUGAGUAACACGUGAGGAACCUGCCCCGAAGACUGGGAUAACGACCGGAAACGGUCGCUAAUACCGGAUGUCCCCACCUGGAUCGCAUGGUCUGGUGAGGAAAUGGAUUCCGCUUCGGGAGGGCCUCGCGGCCUAUCAGCUUGUUGGCGGGGUAACGGCCCACCAAGGCGUCGACGGGUAGCUGGUCUGAGAGGACGACCAGCCACACUGGGACUGAGACACGGCCCAG
rnacentral:rRNA from 1 species